GUACUUAUUGUUCAUCAUCUUCCUCACGUUUUCUCUGCACAGGCUACGUUUUUCAGGUUCGUUUUCUCACUUUUGCACUAUUUAAAAUUAAUUUUACUCCGAUUACAUUACUCUUUGAUGAAUUAUUUUUCAUUUGAAUCGAUUAAAAUGUGUUUUCAUUGAGUUUUUGUACAGUUUUGCUCAUGUCCUUAGGCAGCGUUCUUGGACGGUGAUUUCUUGCGUUUUGCACUCCCUCAAUUCCCUCCACUACAUUAUCAAAACCGUCCAAUACAAAAUAAGAACAUACAAUCCAUUCU
rnacentral:lncRNA from 1 species